rnacentral:misc_RNA from 1 species
AAACUACUUAUAUGACAUGUUAAUUAGACAAAAAAAUCAUAUUUUUUUAAUUAGUUCUAAUUUGUUACUAAAAAAAAAUUUUUUUUACAUAAAAAGAAAAUUGGAGAUUCAAGUAAGGAAAGGCAUACCGCCAACUUCACCAAGGUUACAAUUUGUAAAUUGCCCAGGGCUUAAAUACGUUUAACUCCAACGUUAAGUAACCUUGGCAGAAUGAGCACUCACCAUCCUCCUAUUAUUUUUGUCGGAAGAGUAUCGUCAGUCGGCUGUAUUAUUUCCUCCUGUUACUCUCAUCCGUAGAAGCUCAAGGAGAUGAUACGGUUUCAAUUCUCCCCUUUUGUUAGUUUCUAUUUGAUUGCUAGCAUCAGGUGGUGCUUUCUCACCAGGCCUUGCACCAAUUCAAACUUUUGCCUGAAUCAACUCCUUUGGUUCAAGGUGUUGGUUGAUAUUUGUGAUGUCCCGAAGCACGGAUGAAGCCCUGCAGAACUGCGGCCUUCGCCUAAUUAGAGAUUCUCUUGACAUGCUGUCGCCACUGUUUACGAUGCUCACUCGUCCUACACUUGCAUCCCCCACACCUCCACGGAUAUUUGGACAACACAAAUGGUCAAUGAUUCACAAAGAUUAAUAAAUUCAUCAGAACGCUUUCCUAUCUCCCAGUCCACACACACACAACUUCAGUUAUACGAGGACCAUUAAAUGACAAAUUUGACUUGUAGAAAUAACUGUUUAAAAAUGACUUGUAAAUAUAACUCUUUGAAAUUGACUUGUGGAACGACUUUCAUAGAAUGAUGAUGAAGUUCUAACGGAUAACUGUAACGGGUAAGAUUUUGCUUAUCAAUAAUGAACCAAGAGCAACCAAUGAUUGAAUUCUGUUUUUGCUUUUUAGGUUUUUGUUUCGAAUAAGGGGUUUUGACAGCAAAAAGCCAAGAAAGUUCUCUCCAUAUAUAUAUAUAUACACACACCCCAAAUAAAUUCAUAGUAAAAAAACAUAAAAUUAAUCAUGGCUGAUGCUACCAUUAAUCCUCGGGUCACCCAUGCUAGAUAACCUAUAUUCUGCAAGAGAAACAGUGAGGCAGCGGCCUAAUGGCAGGCAAUCCGACACUUAAAUUAAAGAAUGAUAGAGAUUGAAGAUUAGGAAUCGUUGAAUGGAGAUUUGUUGAUACAUGUUAAAACAUACCUUGCUUAGCUGCCAUUACCUUUUCGUUCUUGCUUAGUUAUAGCUGUUGGCAAUAUUAUGGUAAUUUAGCAAUCAAUCCCAAACGUAUCACACAGUACCGUGAUUUCAGCCAUGGAUCUCUCUGUCCGAGAUCCUCGUGUUGUUCUGAAUCCAAGCUAGACGUGCAAGCGCCGAGCAUAAGCAAAGGGCUCUUUGUCAAUCACCAAGUUCCGGAUGAGCUGGGGUUUGGAUUGCUGCCCUCAAAUCAGGCUGCCCAGCACCCAACCCACUUAGUCUCCAGUUUUGGGCGAGCUAUAUCAAUGGCAAUAAAGAAUAUGAUAUGAUGUUAUGGAAUCUUAAUCAUGUCUUGUAUUACCUCAGUUUGGUUACUAUCGCUUUACUAAUUAAGGUAGGUAACCCGUAACCAAAUGCCAUACUCAAGCCUGAACAGACCUUCCUCAAUAAGUUUGUGACAAUAAAUUUCAUCAGUUCUAAAAAUAUGUAAAUAUAAGCUCCAAAAUCCUAGGAUUUUUUUUUUUUUUUUUUUGUUAGAUCAUAGAUGAGUAAUCAGUGUAAUACAACUGGAUCUUCUACUGGCAGUAAAAGAACAGAUACAAGAUGGGCACAUGUGAUUCAACUUAAUGAAAAUAAUACGAAUGAUCUUUAGUGCAUUUAUUGUAUGAAAGUUUAUAAAGGGGGAGUUAAUAGAAUCAAGCAACACUUUGCUAAAAGUUAUAAAAAAGUGGCUCGGUGUCGAAAAUGUCCACAAGAUGUGAGGAGUCAAAUGUAGGACUUUAUUAGUAAAAAAAGAGAGCAAAAAUCAGUCAUGAAUAUGGAAAGACCGCCUGAAUUUGAGGAUGUUGAAACACUAGGAAUUAAUGAAAAUAAGGAAGAGGAUGACGUGGUGCAAGAAAUUAGUAGUGGAAAAUAAAGGGGAAUAAUUCAUGAUAGUGGUACUAGUGCUUCAAAAAGAGCAAAAGUUCCACAACCACAAAACAAUAGAGGGCCUAUUGAUGCUUAUUUUUUCCCCAAACCGGCUGUUAUGGGGAAAAAUGUAAGGAAAACUACUAUUAAUAAAAAUAGUCCAGCUAAGAAGGAGUUAAGGGAGAGUGCUUGUGUUGCCACAGCACGAUGAAUGUAUGAUGUAGGAAUAAUUUUUAAUGCUGUGAAUUAUGAUAGUUUUGGGAAAAUGAUUCAAGCUAUAGAAAAUUAUGGAAGGGAAAUAAAACCUCCGAUUUAUCAUGAGGUUAGAGUUAGGUUACUUAACAAGGAAGCACAGACCACAAAUGAACUUCUUUAGUCUCAUAAAGAAGAAUGGACAAAUUACGGAUGUUCAUUGUUGUGUGAUGGAUGGACAGAUAGAAAAUGGAGAACAUUGAUUAAUUUCUUAGUUAAUAGC